CCCUUAGAUGUCCGGGGCUGCACGCGCGCUACACUGGUACGUUCAACAAGUUUACAACCUUGAUCGAUAGGUCUGGGUAAUCUUUUUAAUGCGUACCGUGCUAGGGAUAGAUUAUUGCAAUUAUUAAUCUUGAACGAGGAAUUCCUAGUAAACGCAAGUCAUCAGCUUGCAUUGAUUACGUCCCUGCCCUUUGUACACACCGCCCGUCGCACCUACUGAUUGAAUGACUCGGUGAAAAAUUGGGACUGUGAGAACAAUCGAUUCAGUUCGAAUGUACUCGUGGAAACUUUUUUUAACCUCGCCAUUUAGAAGAAGGUGAAGUCGUAACA
rnacentral:rRNA from 1 species